AGCUCCACACUUGCUGGAUCAGAUUGGGACAACACCAUCCGGAGGUAGUCGAUCAAGAGGAGGUGUUAGUUGGUACAGUGCUUGUGCCGAUCACUGUCUUGUUUCCAAUGCUGGAAGCUGUGGGAGUCUCGGCUGGGGAAUUUGAGAUCGAUUGAGGAAUUGGUGUAGGGCUUCUUGGUAGCUGCCGGCAGAGGUCUUGUUGGGCUGUGAGAUUUGGAUUUUGCUACCAAACCUUAAGGUGUUGAUUUUGGGCACCUAUUUAUGUUGGACCAGCUGUAAAUGGGUGGAGAAGCUCCAUUUUUUUUUCUCCACGGCAAACUUUGGAUUUCUUC